rnacentral:rRNA from 1 species
GGACUACUGGGGUUUCUAAUCCCGUUUGCUCCCCUAGCUUUCGCGCCUCAGCGUCAGUAUCGGUCCAGGACGCCGCCUUCGCCACCGGUGUUCCUCCGGAUAUCUACGCAUUUCACCGCUACACCCGGAAUUCCACGUCCCUCUCCCGAACUCAAGCCAAGCAGUUUCCCGUGCAGUUCCUCAGUUGAGCCGAGGGAUUUCACACAGGACUUGCAAGACCGCCUACGCGCCCUUUACGCCCAGUAAUUCCGAACAACGCUUGCUCCCUCUGUAUUACCGCGGCUGCUGGCAC